rnacentral:rRNA from 1 species
CCGCCCGUCACAUCACGAAAGCCAUUUGUACUAGAAGCCGGCAAUUCAAUCGCAAGGAGAUAGCCGUCCAAGGUAUGAAUGGUGAUUGGGGUG